UACAGAGGUCUCAAGCGUUGUUCGGAUUCAUUGGGCGUAAAGGGUGCGUAGGCGGCGCGGUAAGUCGGGUGUGAAAUCUCGGGGCUUAACUCCGAAACUGCAUUCGAUACUGCCGUGCUUGAGGACUGGAGAGGAGACUGGAAUUUACGGUGUAGCGGUGAAAUGCGUAGAUAUCAGGAGGAACACCGGUGGCGAAGGCGGGUCUCUGGGCCAUUACUGACGCUGAGGAGCGAAAGCGUGGGGAGCGAACAGG
rnacentral:rRNA from 1 species